rnacentral:rRNA from 1 species
AACGAACGCUGGCGGCGUGCCUAACACAUGCAAGUCGAGCGGGAAAGUUCCCUUCGGGGAGCGAGUACAGCGGCGCACGGGUGAGUAACACGUAGGUAACCUACCCUGGAGACCGGGAUAACCUGCCGAAAGGCGGGCUAAUACCGGAUGAGACCACGAGGGCUGCGGCCCUUGAGGAAAAAGAUGGCCUCUACUUGUAAGCUAUCACUCCGGGAUGGGCCUGCGCGCCAUUAGCUAGUUGGGAGGUAACGGCUCACCAAGGCCGAGAUGGCUAGCUGAUCUGAGAGGAUGGCCAGCCACACUGGAACUGAGACACGGUCCAGACUCCUACGGGAGGCAGCAGUGGGGAAAUUUUUGCGCAAUGGGCUAAACGCCUGACGCAGCAACGCCGCGUGGAGGAUGAAGGUCUUUGGAUUGUAAACUCCUGUCGGCAGGGAAAAAGCGACUCGACCUAAUACGUCGGGGAGUUGAUUGUA